rnacentral:rRNA from 1 species
UACGUAGGGGGCAAGCGUUGUCCGGAUUUAUUGGGCGUAAAGCGCGCGUAGGCGGUUUAUUAAGUCCGGUGUGAAAACUCUCGGCUCAACUGGGAGACUGCACUGGAAACUGGUAGGCUAGAGUCCAGCAGAGGGAAGUGGAAUUCCAAGUGUAGCGGUGAAAUGCGCAGAUAUUUGGAAGAACACCAGUGGCGAAGGCGGCUUCCUGGACUGCGACUGACGCUGAGGUGCGAAAGCUAGGGGAG